rnacentral:rRNA from 1 species
CAGCCGCCGCGGGAAUACGAGGGGGGCAAGCGUUGUUCGGAAUUAUUGGGCGUAAAGGUUGCGUAGGCGGUUCAGCAAGUCUCGUGUGAAAUCUUCGGGCUCAACCCGAAGUCUGCACGGGAAACUACUGGGCUUGAGUAAUGGAGAGGUGAGUGGAAUUUCCGGUGUAGCGGUGAAAUGCGUAGAUAUCGGAAGGAACACCUGUGGCGAAAGCGGCUCACUGGACAUUUACUGACGCUGAUGCACGAAAGCUAGGGGAGCAAACAGGAUUAGAUACCCCCGUAGUCCCUGUCUCUUAUAC